rnacentral:rRNA from 1 species
ACUCCUACGGGAGGCAGCAGUAGGGAAUCUUCCACAAUGGGCGAAAGCCUGAUGGAGCAACGCCGCGUGGGUGAAGAAGGUCUUCGGAUCGUAAAACCCUGUUGUUAGAGAAGAAAGUGCGUGAGAGUAACUGUUCACGUUUCGACGGUAUCUAACCAGAAAGCCACGGCUAACUACGUGCCAGCAGCCGCGGUAAUACGUAGGUGGCAAGCGUUAUCCGGAUUUAUUGGGCGUAAAGGGAACGCAGGCGGUUCUUUUAAGUCUGAUGUGAAAGCCUUCGGCUUAACCGGAGUAGUGCAUUGGAAACUGGGAGACUUGAGUGCAGAAGAGGAGAGUGGAACUCCAUGUGUAGCGGUGAAAUGCGUAGAUAUAUGGAAGAACACCAGUGGCGAAAGCGGCUCUCUGGUCUGUAACUGACGCUGAGGUUCGAAAGCGUGGGCAGCAAACAGGAUUAGAUACCCCUGGUAGGAUAGCG